AUAAUUUUUCCUUGUUAGUCAUAGAAGUGGUUGAAAAAGCUCAUGAAAUUGAUUUGCAGAUGAUUAAUUACCCUUUUCACUUAAACAGGGAGACCUGGCCUCUCUUUUUACAGCUUUUUUAGUCCUGCCAACUUUUUGUAAGUUCAUGCACAGGUAUCUGAAGAGUCUCAAAGAGGCAGCGUUACCUGAUUUCACUUCGUAUGUGAAAGCUUCACGGGAAAACUAAAUAAGUACUACACUGAAACAUUUACUUGGAUCUCUUGAAAUUUUGAAAAGCAGGCUGUAGAGACUUCUACUGAAUUUUGCGCUUGCAAAUCAAAUUUGGAAAUUGGUCCAGGGAUGCAUCACAUUUCUGCUUCUCAUGUAAUCUCAACUGAACUUGUGAACAUACUGGAUGUCCUUUACAGAAUUCUCUCCUGAAGAGGAGGGUAGAAGUGAUGAACUAUUUAUGAGAGGUGUGUG
rnacentral:misc_RNA from 1 species